GCAGGGAUAGUGAAGCGGUCAAACACGGCAGACUGUAAAUCUGCUGGCUUAUGCCUUCGGGGGUUCGAAUCCCUCUCCCUGCACCA
rnacentral:tRNA from 1 species